rnacentral:tRNA from 1 species
AGCAGUUAAGUGCUUGGCUAAUAACCAAAAGGUUGGUGGUUCAAACCCACCAGCUGCUC